GAUGGAGGCUUGGGGAAAGAAGCGGGUCAAACGGAUCGUAUACGCGGAAAAGAGCAUAAUCCGGAUACUAGGAAUAAAUAUCGAUUGAAUGUUGACAUCGCUAUUACUUAGCGGCUACUAAGGCAAGGUAUCGAAACGGGUCAAUAUAUUGAUCCGAGCCAGGUGAAGAUGGACCUAAUCCGGAUGAAGAUCAAGCGGCGAGCAAGAACCGAACACACGUUAAAUGAAGCUUCCGCA